rnacentral:lncRNA from 13 species
GUGGUGUGAAUACAUCUCUCUCUACAGCUCAGAACAACUUGUCUCUGUGUUUCAUCUGCAUGACUGAGAGGUGUCAAGAUGUAAAAAAGAUUUUCAAUUCCAUGAGCGAUGACAAACUUUGGAUGCAAAGUACUGAAACGUCUGCCCUUCUUGACUGUUCCCUGACCUCGUCUCCCUCUUCUGGGAAGUGUGUGCCAUGUUUUGAGGACCGCAAGGUCUACGUUGUGUGCCUUGACAUGCCCAAGGAUCUCAAACUGGACCUGGAGUGGGGCAGUGUUAGCAUCUCCCUUUCCAACACUGAAGCUACAUGCCCUAGACUUAAAACGCCUGGAGCUGUUGGUCAAGCUGGACACAACAGUGGAGUCAGAGGUCUUGCUGGGCAUCCUGGAGCAAUGAUCGCUAUUGGCAUGUUAGCAGCUGCUGUCAUUGUCGCUUAAUACAGAAGCCAGACCAAAUCAAGUGAGUAAGCAGGCAGGGGUGAUACAGGGUUUAUUGGCUCAACAAAUGUCCCUUUUAUAUUGGAGAAUACAGGGUUAACACAAAUUUCUUGCUAACAAACUAUAGUUUUGGCAAGUCGGUUAGGACAUCUACUUUGUGCACAAGACAAGUAAUUUUUCCAACAAUUGUUUACAGACAGAUUAUUUCACUUAUAAUUCACUGUAUCACAAUUCCAGUGGGUCAGAAGUGAACAUACACUAAGUUGACUGUGCCUUUUAACAGCUUGGAAAAUUCCAGAAAAUGAUGUCAUGGCUUUAGAAACUUCUGAUAGGCUAAUUGACAUCAUUUGUGUCAAUUGGAGGUGUACCUGUUGAUGUAUUUCAAGGCCUACCUUCAAACUCAGUGCCUCUUUGCUUGACAUCAUAGGAAAAUCAAAAGAAAUCAGCCAAGACCUCAGAAAAAUAAUUGUAGACCUCCACAAGUCUGGUUCAUCCUUGGGAGCAAUUUCCAAAUGCCUGAAGGUACCACGUUCAUCUGUUCAAACAAUAGUACGCAAGUAUAAACACCAUGGGACCACGCAGCCGUCAUUCCGCUCAGGAAGGAGACACGUUCUGACUCCUAGAGAUGAACAUACUUUGGUGCGAAAAGUGCAAAUCAAUCCUAGAACAACAGCAAAGGACCUUGUGAAGGUGCUGGAGGAAACAGGUACAAAAGUAUCUAUAUCCACAGUAAAAACGAGUCCUAUAUCGACAUAACGUGAAAGGCCGCUCAGCAAGGAAGAAGCCACUGCUCCAAAACCGCCAUAAAAAAAAGCCAGACUACGGUUUGCAACUGCACAUGUGGACAAAGAUCGUACUUUUUGGAGAAAUGUCCUCUGGUCCGAUGAAACAAAAAUAGAACUGUUUGGCCAUAAUGACCAUCAUUAUGUUUGGAGGAAAAAGGAGGCUUGCAAGC